rnacentral:rRNA from 1 species
CUACGGGGCGCAGCAGUGGGGAAUCUUAGACAAUGGGGGAAACCCUGAUCUAGCCAUGCCGCGUGAGCGAUGAAGGCCUUAGGGUUGUAAAGCUCUUUCAGCUGGGAAGAUAAUGACGGUACCAGCAGAAGAAGCCCCGGCUAACUCCGUGCCAGCAGCCGCGGUAAUACGGAGGGGGCUAGCGUUGUUCGGAAUUACUGGGCGUAAAGCGCGCGUAGGCGGACUAUUAAGUCGGGGGUGAAAUCCCGGGGCUCAACCCCGGAACUGCCUUCGAUACUGGUAGUCUUGAGUUCGAGAGAGGUGAGUGGAAUUCCGAGUGUAGAGGUGAAAUUCGUAGAUAUUCGGAGGAACACCAGUGGCGAAGGCGGCUCACUGGCUCGAUACUGACGCUGAGGUGCGAAAGCGUGGGGAGCAAACAGGAUUAGAUACCCGGGUAGUC